rnacentral:rRNA from 1 species
GAUGAACGCUGGCGGCGUGCCUAAUACAUGCCAGUCGAGCGAACGGACGAGAAGCUUGCUUCUCUGAUGUUAGCGGCGGACGGGUGAGUAACACGUGGAUAACCUACCUAUAAGACUGGGAUAACUUCGGGAAACCGGAGCUAAUACCGGAUAAUAUUUUGAACCGCAUGGUUCAAAAGUGAAAGACGGUCUUGCUGUCACUUAUAGAUGGAUCCGCGCUGCAUUAGCUAGUUGGUAAGGUAACGGCUUACCAAGGCAACGAUGCAUAGCCGACCUGAGAGGGUGUUCGGCCACACUGGAACUGAGACACGGUCCAGACUCCUACGGGAGGCAGCAGUAGGGAAUCUUCCGCAAUGGGCGAAAGCCUGACGGAGCAACGCCGCGUGAGUGAUGAAGGUCUUCGGAUCGUAAAACUCUGUUAUUAGGGAAGAACAUAUGUGUAAGUAACUGUGCACAUCUUGACGGUACCUAAUCAGAAAGCCACGGCUAACUACGUG